rnacentral:rRNA from 1 species
GGUUGCGAUCAUACCAGCACUAAUGCACUGGAUCCCAUCAGAACUCCGUAGUUAAGCGUGCCUGGGCGAGAGUAGUACUAGGAUGGGUGACCCCCUGGGAAGUGCUCGUGUUGCAACCCCCUUC